rnacentral:rRNA from 1 species
UACGUAGGGUGCGAGCGUUGUCCGGAAUUAUUGGGCGUAAAGAGCUCGUAGGCGGUUUGUCGCGUCGGCCGUGAAAACUUGGGGCUUAACUCCAAGCUUGCGGUCGAUACGGGCAGACUUGAGUUCGGCAGGGGAGACUGGAAUUCCUGGUGUAGCGGUGAAAUGCGCAGAUAUCAGGAGGAACACCGAUGGCGAAGGCAGGUCACUGGGCCGCAACUGACGCUGAGGAGCGAAAGCAUGGGGAGCGAACAGG